rnacentral:rRNA from 1 species
CCUACGGGUGGCAGCAGUGAGGAAUAUUGGUCAAUGGCCGAGAGGCUGAACCAGCCAUGUCGCGUGCGGGAAGACGGCUCUACGGGUUGUAAACCUCUUUUGUCGGGGAGUAAAGCGCGUUACGUGUGACUCAUUGAGAGUAUCGGACGAAAAAGCAUCGGCUAACUCCGUGCCAGCAGCCGCGGUAAUACGGAGGAUGCGAGCGUUAUCCGGAUUUAUUGGGUUUAAAGGGUGCGCAGGCGGUGGUGAAAGUCAGCGGUAAAAUUGCGGGGCUAAACCCCGUACUGCCGUUGAUACUGCAGGACUAGAGUGCACGAGAGGUAGGCGGAAUGCGUGGUGUAGCGGUGAAAUGCAUAGAGAUCACACAGAACAACGAUUGCGAAGGCAGCAUACCAACGCACAACUGACGCUGAGGCACGAAAGCGUGGGGAGCGAACAGGAUUAGAUACCCUAGUAGUC